rnacentral:rRNA from 1 species
ACAUGCAAGUCGAACGAGAAUCUACUGACGGAGUUUUCGGACAACUGAAGUAGAGGACAGUGGCGGACUGGUGAGUAACGCGUGAGGAACCUGCCUUUCAGAGGGGGACAACAGUUGGAAACGACUGCUAAUACCGCAUGACGCAUUCGGAUGGCAUCAUCUGAAUGCCAAAGAUUUAUCGCUGAAAGAUGGCCUCGCGUCUGAUUAGCUAGUUGGCGGGGUAACGGCCCACCAAGGCGACGAUCAGUAGCCGGACUGAGAGGUUGACCGGCCACAUUGGGACUGAGAUACGGCCCAGACUCCUACGGGAGGCAGCAGUGGGGAAUAUUGGGCAAUGGGCGCAAGCCUGACCCAGCAACGCCGCGUGAAGGAAGAAGGCUUUCGGGUUGUAAACUUCUUUUAAGUGGGAAGAGCAGAAGACGGUACCACUUGAAUAAGCCACGGCUAACUACGUGCCAGCAGCCGCGGUAAUACGUAGGUGGCAAGCGUUGUCCGGAUUUACUGGGUGUAAAGGGCGUGCAGCCGGGCAUGCAAGUCAGAUGUGAAAUCUCAGGGCUUAACCCUGAAACUGCAUUUGAAACUGUAUGUCUUGAGUGCCGGAGA